AUUGAACGCUGGCGGCAGGCCUAACACAUGCAAGUCGAGCGGAGCGGCGGACGGGUGAGUAAUGCCUAGGAAUCUGCCUGGUAGUGGGGGAUAACGUCCGGAAACGGGCGCUAAUACCGCAUACUAUCAGAUCAGCCUAGGUAGGAUUAGCUAGUUGGUGGGGUAAAGGCCUACCAAGGCGACGAUCCGUAACUGGUCUGAGGGGAUGAUCAGUCAACCGGGAACUGGAACCCGGUCCAGAAUCUCACGAUAGGCAGCAGGGGGGAAUAGUGGACAAUGGGCGAAAGCCUGAUCCAGCCAUGCCGCGUGUGGGAAGAAGGUCUUCGGAUUUUAAAGCACUUUAAGUUGGGAGGCGUUACCAACAGAAUAAGCACCGGGUAACUUCGUGCCAGCAGCCGCGGUAAUAC
rnacentral:rRNA from 1 species